AGGUGCCUACUUUGAAGGGGACUGAGGUGUCAUUGUCCUAUGUACAAUGUUUCUUAUAUCUUAUAUCUUCUUCAAUAAAUGCCUCUAUUUUUUAUGUGAUAUUGCUGGAUACCUUCUGGACAGAUGUCGCAUAUGGCAACCUUGUAUUCCUGAGAGAACCAGAGACCCCAUCUGCAGGAGAGCGGGACAAGAUGGAGAGAAAGAGGGACAGAGACUAGAAGAUAAAAUGCCGGAAUAGAACGAUAUGGAUAUGUUUUUCUUUGGCAGAGGUGAUUCUGAUUUCCUCCUACAAUGCAUGGACAAUUUCACACUUUCAUCAAACGUGAAGAUAUUCACUUCAUCAAAUGCUUAUUAAUAAUGAACAUAUUAAUAUUUUUCUUUUAUGAUGAUUGAAAAAUGAUAUAUGCCACAAAUUCUUUUUUAUGUUAACUCUUGUUUUACAAUACUUAUAACAAAGAAGCGAUAAACCAAAACAUUAUUUUAGACUUCUGUAAUCUAACUAUGAGGUAUGCAAUGGUCUAUGUGGAAAAGCAUUUUCUUCUGGGGGAUGCAGGAUUACAUGAUGGUGUUGGACUGAGGACUCCACACUGACCAGGUUGUUUCUACAUUUUGCCUCCUUCAAAUGACACCAUGAUAACAAACAGCACAUGGACAGUACCAGUGAAUACACGUCACUUGGCCAACACCAGAAACUCAGACUGAGAAAGCUGAUGCACCGGUCUCCAGCAGCAGGUUCCCAUCACUUCAAUUGUCCCCUGAAAUCUACAACACCAAGAAGUAACUUCCGGAAGAGAAGGGCAUGGGGGACAGGGUGGAAAAGGUGAAGGGAUUGAAAUGUACAGAUUGGUACUUGCAAAAUGGUCAUGGGGAUAUAAAGUACAGCAUACUACAGAAUAUAGUCAGUAAUGUUGUAAUAACUAUGUAUGGUGCCAGGCAGUUACAUGCAAAUAUCAGGGAGAACACUUUGUAAAGUAUGUGAUUGUCUAACCAGUAUGCUGUACACCUGA